CCUGAAAUAAGCAGGAGCAGCAGCAGCGAGCACGGCUGAAAUGUGGGAUUUCAUCCUGAAGCCUGCGAAAUACAACUACUACAGCGAGAUUGCUGUGGUGGUGGUGGUAAUGAUGAAGAGGCAGGCAUCAUUCUCCUCCUCCGGUGCCUGCUGCUGGUGUCGGAGGCCAUCGGCUCCCUGCAUCUCCCUCUGCCCGGUCGGAGAUGCGUCGAUGUCGCUGACCUGCCUGACAAUGUCCGCCUCUCUUUCGCCUCGCCCAUGGGCAUCGGUUGAGUAGCAAAACAAGUUGGAAACUGUUUGUACUACAGGAGAGGAGAGGGUGGAGAGGUCAUGCUGAAACAUGUUGACUAUGUUUGCAGAGGAAUGGUUUCUAGAUUAAGACCAACCAGGGGAUGAGUGUGCAUGAUCUCAUCCACGUACAGUGACCAGGCACCUUAGGCACAUCCCAAUUCCCUUAUUUGGUCCCUCCUCGCUCCUCGAUCAAUAAGCGAGGAAGGAUCUCUGAGGAGCCAUGUGAGAGAAGCUACAUGAGAGCAGCCUUCAUGACAGUCUUACACCGGUCGACACACCCACUUAUUGGAAAUCAGUUAUUGAUUGGACGCUGCUGCUGAUUGGACGGCACUGAUACAUCACUGUAGUUUUACACUGGACUGGACAGACAGAUUCAACUCAAGUGUGUUAUAUUUGAUUUGUUUUCUGAUUCAUCAUUAAAAAUAGAGGAUCUGUGUUAAUUGGCGGUCUGAUCAACAAAAGAACCAUAAACAACUUUCUUCAUUUAUUAGAACUUUUUUUUUUUUCUUUUCAUGAUCUGUUAUUUCCCCCACUAAUCUUUAUGAUAGAUCAAAUUAAAGCCAGGGAGAGGAACACAUUUUAAACACAUUUAUUCAGUCCCAUCUGAGGACUGAAAAUCCCUGAGCGUACUAUAGUUCCAUGUGAGAUAUAUUUACACAAUUUCCAUUUUUCCCCUGAAACAUAAACUCCCAUCAAAAGUCGCUGCAGUUGUUAAAGCAGACUGACAGCUGAACCAGCUGCGACCAGUCGCUGCCGUCAUCAGAAACAGACAUCGCUUCAUGUGACGCUUCAGGAAAGGAAAGGACAUCUUAUUUCUCUAAAAGCAUAUUUCCCAGUUUCCUCUCUCCUCGCAUCUUUUUCCUCGCAUCUCUCCCCGUGUCUUCAGUGAGGAGGGACUGAGACGCAAGCGAGGGAAACGUGGAUGCAAUUAAAGCACACCUUGUAUUUAGAUGACCUUUCCUUUGCCCUCUAACACAGCAUGACCUGAGCUGCUCCUCUGUGACCAUGUUCACCGAUUGAUUUUAUGGACUGAAUUUUUUUGCAUUUUUUUUUUAAUUAGACAAACCUGUUUUCAUGUAGGACUUUACUUUAUUAGUGAUCCUUCGUCUGUAUAAAAUAAUGUGGGUAAGCAGUUUCCUGUCCACAUCCAAAAAAACUGUGGAAUAAGUACUGGAAUUUAAAAAAACAUGAGAAAACAAAUAAAAGUGCACUUGAAUCAGA